GCAUGCCUAACACAUGCAAGUCGAACGAGGAUCCUUCGGGGUCUAGUGGCGCACGGGUGCGUAACGCGUGGGAAUCUGCCCUUUGCUUCGGAAUAACAGUUAGAAAUGACUGCUAAUACCGGAUGAUGUCGCAAGACCAAAGAUUUAUCGGCAAGGGAUGAGCCCGCGUAGGAUUAGGUAGUUGGUGGGGUAAAGGCUCACCAAGCCGACGAUCCUUAGCUGGUCUGAGAGGAUGAUCAGCCACACUGGGACUGAGACACGGCCCAGACUCCUACGGGAGGCAGCAGUGGGGAAUAUUGGACAAUGGGCGAAAGCCUGAUCCAGCAAUGCCGCGUGAGUGAUGAAGGCCUUAGGGUUGUAAAGCCUCUGGGACCA
rnacentral:rRNA from 1 species